rnacentral:rRNA from 1 species
CAGUCGCCGCGGUAAUACGAAGGGGGCUAGCGUUGUUCGGAUUUACUGGGCGUAAAGGGCGCGUAGGCGGACUGAUAAGUCAGGGGUGAAAUCCCAAGGCUCAACCUUGGAACUGCCUUUGAUACUGUUUGUCUUGAGUUCGAGAGAGGUAAGUGGAACUGCGAGUGUAGAGGUGAAAUUCGUAGAUAUUGGGAAGAACACCGGUGGCGAAGGCGGCGACCUGGUCUUUUACUGACGCUGAGGCGCGAAGGCGUGGGGAGCAAACAGGAUUAGAUACCCGUGUAGUCCCUGUCUCUUAUAU